UGUGUAUCAGUACAUGGCAUAUCAAUAAGCGGAGGAAAAGAAACUAACAAGGAUUCCCCUAGUAACGGCGAGUGAAGCGGGAAGAGCUCAAAUUCGAAAUCUUAAAGGGUUUCCCUUUACGAAUUGUAGUUUAAAGAAGUGUUUUCUGUUGGAGUUUCGGUAAAAGUUCUUUGGAAUAGGACAUCAUAGAGGGUGAGAAUCCCGUAUUUGACCGUUACUUUCCAGCUGUGUGAUACACUUUCAAAGAGUCGGAUUGUUUGGGAAUGCAGUCCAAAAUGGGUGGUAAAUUUCAUCUAAAGCUAAAUAUUGGCGAGAGACCGAUAGCGAACAAGUACCGUGAGGGAAAGAUGAAAAGAACUUUGAAAAGAGAGUUAAACAGUACGUGAAAUUGUCAAAAGGGAAGCGUUUGACACCAGUGUUGUUUAGUUGAAAAUCAAUUCAAUAGUUUUUGAUUUUGAGUAGUAUUGACUUCAUCAGCUUGCUGCUUUUUUUUCAGGAAUUAUUGAAUGCACUUUUCAGUUAACAAGUCAACAUCAAUUUCUUUUGUUGUAAAAGGGUAAGAGGAAGGUGGCUUACGUUUCGGCGUAAGUGUUUAUAGCCUUUUACCUCUGCAAUCGGAGAGACUGAGGACAGCAGCGUAGACUCCUUCUGGGGUUAGAUACACUUGUGCUAAGCUAUAGCCCUGUAUAGACAACUUGUUGACUAUGCUCAGUCAUGUAGCUUACUCGCUUGUGCUAUUUUACCUACGCUUAGGAUGUUGACAGCAGUAUAGACUGU
rnacentral:rRNA from 1 species